rnacentral:rRNA from 1 species
UACGAAGGGGGCUAGCGUUGUUCGGAAUCACUGGGCGUAAAGGGCGCGUAGGCGGCCGAUCAAGUCGGGGGUGAAAGCCUGUGGCUCAACCACAGAAUUGCCUUCGAUACUGGUUGGCUUGAGACCGGAAGAGGUAAGUGGAACUGCGAGUGUAGAGGUGAAAUUCGUAGAUAUUCGCAAGAACACCAGUGGCGAAGGCGGGUCUCUGGGCCGAUACUGACGCUGAGG